CUAACAUUGGUAAUUCAAUGAAUUUUCCCUUGUAAAAACAAAGUUUAGGUUGCUGAUUGAUUGAAAACGAAUUAGACAAAUAACUAGGGUCCAAGUUUGAAAUCGGACAAAAAGAGCGUCUAAAAUCAAUUAUUUUGAAUGUUACGGACAUCGAUAUUUCAAGGCCUAUAGCACGUUAUGCGUCUAUUUAUACCACUAUGAUAACUUAUAUGGCUUCAACAGACUCGAGGCAUUGUGUUUCCAUCAAAACCUGACCCUAUUAGCCCACCAAUAUGUCUCUGCACG
rnacentral:lncRNA from 1 species